rnacentral:rRNA from 1 species
GCGACAGUAGGAUGGUCGUGCCACCGGUACGUACUGGUCUCACUGAUUCCUCCUUCCUGAAGAACCGUAAUGCCAUUAAUUUGGUGUUGCGGGGAAACAGGACUGUUACUUUGAAAAAAUUAGAGUGUUUAAAGCAAGCUAACGCUAGAAUACAUUAGCAUGGAAUAAUGAAAUAGGACGAUCGAUCCUAUUUUGUUGGUUUCUAGGAUUGACGUA